rnacentral:rRNA from 1 species
CCCUUAGAUGUCCGGGGCUGCACGCGCGCUACACUGUAGAAAGCAGCGUGCUUUAAGACCUUUCCUGAAAAGGAUGGGUAACCCCAGCAAAAUUCUACGUGCUUGGGAUAGAGAUUUGCAAUUUUCUCUCUUGAACGAGGAAUUCCCAGUAAGUGCGAGUCAUCAGCUCGCGUUGAUUACGUCCCUGCCCUUUGUACACACCGCCCGUCGCUACUACCGAUUGGGAAAAUUUUAGAGAGUCCUGGACUGAUGAUUGUUCGGCUUCACGGCCUUACUUUCGUCGGGAAAGAAUUCGAUAAUAUUUUUCUAGAGGAAGUAAAAGUCGUAACA